UUCGCCCUAGCUCUUCCGAUCUUAUUCCCUACGGGGGGCAGCAGUGAGGAAUAUUGGUCAAUGGGCGCGAGCCUGAACCAGCCAAGUCGCGUGAGGGAAGACGGUCCUAUGGAUUGUAAACCUCUUUUGUCGGGGAGCAAAAGACGCCACGUGUGGCGUUCCGAGAGUACCCGAAGAAAAAGCAUCGGCUAACUCCGUGCCAGCAGCCGCGGUAAUACGGAGGAUGCGAGCGUUAUCCGGAUUUAUUGGGUUUAAAGGGUGCGCAGGCGGAAGAUCAAGUCAGCGGUAAAAUUGAGAGGCUCAAC
rnacentral:rRNA from 1 species